rnacentral:lncRNA from 1 species
UCAGGGGAUGCAGAGAAAAAGUAGGAUUUGGAUGAAAGGCACAGGAUACCUCCAGCAGACAGCUGGGAAGGGUGGGCAGCGGCACUCCAUGUGGAAAUACACAGUGGGCCUGGUAGCUUCCUUUGGUUUCAUCCUGACAUGUAUCUUUUUACACUUCCAAAUCCUAGCCAUCCCAUCCUUGGAUUCACUGAUGAAACCCAUUGACUUUCCCCCAUCAGUUUCACAGUUCUUUGGGCUUCCAGCCAUCCCUUCUGGUCAUCCUUCCAAAAGCCAGAGGCCAUGCACCUUUCACAGCUAUCUGCCUACCUCCCUUUCCCAUCUGCCGACUUUUUCGGGAUGUGUGCAUUUUGCAGAGAUGCAAGGAUAGGCUCCAUGGAGUUGCCAUUUAGUGAGAUGAGGAAGGCUGCGGGAGGAACAGGUGUAAGGGAAGAAGCAAGAACUCAUUGACGCCCUGCCAGAUCUGGAGCACCUGUGAGGCACCCCAGUGGUGAUGUCAGUGAGAGUCAAAUGGUGAGUCUGGAGCUCAGGUGAAGCCAGGGCUGAGGGCAUGAACUUGGGGCUCAUUGGCAUAAAUGAUCUACUCACCAUAGAACUGGAUGACCUCCCCAAGGCAUCUCAGAAGGAAGUCAUACAGCACUUGAGAUAUGUCUUUAAAUACAUUAUCUUACACUUGCCCACACCAAAUCUCAUCUGUCACUUCUCUGCCCACUCGUACACACCCUUGUGGGAUUCUGUAGCGUAUCCCCAUUGGCUUGACAUUUCAUUCCCUCAAAAAACUUAGUGC